AUUGAACGCUGGCGGCAGGCCUAACACAUGCAAGUCGAACGGUAACAGGAAGAAGCUUGCUUCUUUGCUGACGAGUGGCGGACGGGUGAGUAAUGUCUGGGAAACUGCCUGAUGGAGGGGGAUAACUACUGGAAACGGUAGCUAAUACCGCAUAAUGUCGCAAGACCAAAGAGGGGGACCUUCAGGCCUCUUGCCAUCGGAUGUGCCCAGAUGGGAUUAGCUAGUAGGUGGGGUAACGGCUCACCUAGGCGACGAUCCCUAGCUGGUCUGAGAGGAUGACCAGCCACACUGGAACUGAGACACGGUCCAGACUCCUACGGGAGGCAGCAGUGGGGAAUAUUGCACAAUGGGCGCAAGCCUGAUGCAGCUAUGCCGCGUGUAUGAAGAAGGCCUUCGGGUUGUAAAGUACUUUCAGCGGGGAGGAAGGGAGUAAAGUUAAUACCUUUGCUCAUUGACGUUACCCGCAGAAGAAGCACCGGCUAACUCCGUG
rnacentral:rRNA from 1 species